rnacentral:rRNA from 1 species
CACGGGUGAGUAACGCAUAGGUCAUGUGCCUCUUAGUUUGGGAUAGCCAUUGGAAACGAUGAUUAAUACCAGAUACUCCCUACGGGGGAAAGAUUUAUCGCUAAGAGAUCAGCCUAUGUCCUAUCAGCUUGUUGGUAAGGUAAUGGCUUACCAAGGCUAUGACGGGUAUCCGGCCUGAGAGGGUGAACGGACACACUGGAACUGAGACACGGUCCAGACUCCUACGGGAGGCAGCAGUAGGGAAUAUUGCUCAAUGGGGGAAACCCUGAAGCAGCAACGCCGCGUGGAGGAUGAAGGUUUUAGGAUUGUAAACUCCUUUUGUUAGAGAAGAUAAUGACGGUAUCUAACGAAUAAGCACCGGCUAACUCCGUGCCAGCAGCCGCGGUAAUACGGAGGGUGCAAGCGUUACUCGGAAUCACUGGGCGUAAAGAGCGCGUAGGCGGGAUAGUCAGUCAGGUGUGAAAUCCUAUGGCUUAACCAUAGAACUGCAUUUGAAACUACUAUUCUAGAGUGUGGGAGAGGUAGGUGGAAUUCUUGGUGUAGGGGUAAAAUCCGUAGAGAUCAAGAGGAAUACUCAUUGCGAAGGCGACCUGCUAGAACAUUACUGACGCUGAUUGCGCGAAAGCGUGGGGAGCAAACAGGAUUAGAUACCCUGGUAGUCCACGCCCUAAACGAUGGAUGCUAGUUGUUGGAGGGCUUAGUCUCUCCAGUAAUGCAGCUAACGCAUUAAGCAUCCCGCCUGGGGAGUACGGUCGCAAGAUUAAAACUCAAAGGAAUAGACGGGGACCCGCACAAGCGGUGGAGCAUGUGGUUUAAUUCGAAGCUACACGAAGAACCUUACCUAGGCUUGACAUUGAGAGAAUCCGCUAGAAAUAGUGGAGUGUCUAGCUUGCUAGACCUUGAAAACAGGUGCUGCACGGCUGUCGUCAGCUCGUGUCGUGAGAUGUUGGGUUAAGUCCCGCAACGAGCGCAACCCCCUUUCUUAGUUGCUAACAGGUCAUGCUGAGAACUCUAAGGAUACUGUCUCCGUAAGGAGGAGGAAGGUGGGGACGACGUCAAGUCAUCAUGGCCCUUACGCCUAGGGCUACACACGUGCUACAAUGGGGUGCACAAAGAGAAGCAAUACUGCGAAGUGGAGCCAAUCUUCAAAACACCUCUCAGUUCGGAUUGUAGGCUGCAACUCGCCUGCAUGAAG